GAUGAACGCUGGCGGCGUGCCUAAUACAUGCAAGUCGAGCGAACGGACGAGAAGCUUGCUUUUCUGAUGUUAGCGGCGGACGGGUGAGUAACACGUGGAUAACCUACCUAUAAGACUGGGAUAACUUCGGGAAACCGGAGCUAAUACCGGAUAAUAUUUUGAACCGCAUGGUUCAGAAGUGAAAGACGGUCUUGCUGUCACUUAUAGAUGGAUCCGCGCUGCAUUAGCUAGUUGGUAAGGUAACGGCUUACAAGGCAACAAUGCAUAGCCGACCUGAGAGGGUGAUCGGCCACACUGGAACUGAGACACGGUCCAGACUCCUACGGGAGGCAGCUGUAGGGAAUCUUCCGCAAUGGGCGAAAGCCUGACGGAGCAACGCCGCGUGAGUGAUGAAGGUCUUCGGAUCGUAAAACUCUGUUAUUAGGGAAGAACAUAUGUGUAAGUAACUGUGCACAUCUUGACGGUACCUAAUCAGAAAGCCACGGCUAACUACGUG
rnacentral:rRNA from 1 species